rnacentral:rRNA from 1 species
AUUGAACGCUGGCGGCAGGCCUAACACAUGCAAGUCGAGCGGAUGAAGGGAGCUUGCUCCUGGAUUCAGCGGCGGACGGGUGAGUAAUGCCUAGGAAUCUGCCUGGUAGUGGGGGAUAACGUCCGGAAACGGGCGCUAAUACCGCAUAGGUCCUGAGGGAGAAAGUGGGGGAUCUUCGGACCUCACGCUAUCAGAUGAGCCUAGGUCGGAUUAGCUAGUUGGUGGGGUAAAGGCCUACCAAGGCGACGAUCCGUAACUGGUCUGAGAGGAUGAUCAGUCACGGGGGAAGAGAGACGGGGUCGAGGCUGCUGGGAGGGGGAGGAGGGGGAUAUUGGACACAGGGGGCAAACGCGUGACAGAGAGGGGGCGCGUGUGAAGAAGGUCUUCGGAUUGUAAAGCACUUUAAGUUGGGAGGAAGGGCAGUAAGUUAAUACCUUGCUGUUUUGACGUUACCAACAGAAUAAGCACCGGCUAACUUCGUG